UUGUUGAAUUAAAAACAGACGCAUUUAUUAAAGGUUAACUGUAGAACAGAGAAACACCAUCACAAAAAUCACAUUAUAAAUUUUUCUCGCAAACAAUUUUUUCAGUGCAACAAUCCCAUAAGUAAAAAUAAAUCAAAUCAUUAAUUAUAUUAACUGAAAUGUUGUCACAUAUUAAAUAUUAUAACAGACAAGAAUAAUCAGACGCAAUAUUUUCAGUUUAUAAUUGCUAUAUACAAAAAGAUAUAUAGAAAUACAAAAAGAUUUAUAGUAAUCAGAAAUGUCACAAUUUAUAUCCAAAAAUCUGUAUAAAGCUCUGCGGACAAAUUUAAGGCACAUGUUAUGAUUAAUUUUUGUAAAAAAUAUUUUUUGUUAUCAAUUCAGGAAUGUGAUUAGCUAUUUUUAUUUGUUCUUUUACAAAUUAAGACAAAACCUGCUAAGUACAAAAAGAUCAGCUUCUUUUAUGACAAACUUUCAUACUUGGCAAUGUGCUGUGUACUAGUGCAAACUAUUGUUCCCUGUCUAAAACAAAAUUCAGGUAAUGCAUAUUCCCAAAAGACAUUUUUUUUUAUUUAUUUUUUUAAAAUCUUUUAUUGAGAUUUUUCUUUUUUUUUUUUGUACAAAGGAAUUCAAUACAUACAUUUUCGUGGAAGUUUAGGACCUAAUUUCGGUGGAAAAGAGAUUUUUAAAAUGUAUUUAUUUUAGAGAACAAAUCCCAUACUUUGAGGUCAUACAAUGUAUUAUAACAUGUACUGCGAAGACAUUGUGCAUCAGUCUACCCCUAACCUCUGGGUGGAAAAUAAUAUGUCUUAACUUCUCAAAGAUUAGUGGGGUUACACUCUUGCUGUUUUGAUCGAGAAAUGUAAAACAUUGCCGUUUUUUGUAGAUGUUUUCAUUGCAGAGCUAAACACUCCUCUAGCGGUUGUCUUCCUGACAGCUUCAAAAUUAAAACUAAAAGUGAACGGUCACUUCUUUUGUAUUUACACUAUUUUCAAUGGAAGCACCUAUAAUUUGUAUACUUUUUUUCCUGAGAUGAUCUGUUUUCUGAUAAAUUUAAAGAAAUAGCAAGAGACAUAUUAAUACAGUUCAAACAAGGCAAAGCCAGGGCUAACAUUGCAAGUGAGGAGGGGGGAAAAUAGUUUAAUUCCUCCUAUUCUCCAUAUGCUUUCUCUACGCUGCCUGCCAGGUGCAAAGCACAGAGUUUAUAACAGUGAUUGACAGGGAUCGAACAUGGAGGUGUGGAUUUCUAAAUUUGAAUUUCUUCCUUUUUUUUUUUACACCUUGCAAAUACAUAUUUUGCUAAAUAUAGGCAUGAUUAAACUCCUAUUUAAUAAAUAUAGGUAUGAGUAAACUCAUAUUAUUAAAAAUCCAGGGAAGAGACUGUCCCCAAUUAAUUCAGUCCCUUUCCCACUACUGAUAUGCUGAGGUGAGGGUAUGGGGAAACAGAAAUUGAGUUACUCUCUCCUGGUAUAUCAUGAACUUGGUCCAUCCAUGUUGCUUAUUAAUGUAUCGAUUAUGUAUUUUGUAUAAAUAUCAGUUAAAGGAGAGGGAGUGAAUUAUAGGAGACAGAGACAAUGCAAUUCUCUCUCGCUACCUCCUCUCCCACUAUAAAACUAAGCUGCAAAUGGCAGCUGCUACCAAGAGCAACCCCCAACAAUCUUGGAUAGACCAAGACAUUUAUGCCUUAGGUCGGCCCUAAGGGUAAAGCAACCAUAUCCCUACAAAGUAAAAAAAAAAAUAUAUAUAUAUAUCAUCUCUGAGUUCUGGAUAUAGUUUGAAUUUCAGUAUUGUAAUGAAUUUUGUAGUCUCCAGAACCCCUCAAUUAUAUUUUCCCAUAAUAAUGCUUAUAUUUAGUACCUAAGCCUUGCACUAUUCAACUCGGAUCAAUUAGUGGUCCUGGUGCAAGAUCUGGCUUGAACUCCGCAUCAAUGAAAGCACUCUUUAUCGUUCAGUGUUACAGCUUCUUUUUUAGCAGUUUAUCAUAUAUACAUUUGCAACUGAUAAAGAUGCAGCAAUAUGUACAUAUAAAAUCCACAAUGUGUGUACAUAUACACACAGUGUGAUACCUAUGAGAUCGCACAAAUUUAAAAAAAAAAAAAAAAAGAGGGGCAUCGAAAUAGUUUUUUUUAGUGUAGCAUUACUUGUAUUUACAUAAAAUGUAUAUUUUUCCUAAAAGAUAUUUGUUUUAUUUAAUGCACAUUAGCUCCAACAAUAAAUAGAAUUUGUCUUUUUGUACUGGGGAUUUUUUUUCCCCUCCCAACACUCAGUUUCUUUUCAAUUCUCAUCCAGCCAGUGAGAUGGAAGUGCUACUUCUAUAAAUUCAAUGCAUGCAAUUUAAAUCAAUAGAUUUAGUGGAAAAUGUAAUCGGUAUGUUGUCCACAUAGUGAGCAUUUGCUAUAUACAUCAUUUUCUACAGUCUAAAUCUUUUUCUUCUACAUGUACAUAGACCCUGGUGUUCAUCAGAAACACUCUUAGCUAUGUAUUGGGUGUUGGUAUUUUAGAUUAUGAUCAUUCUUGAGCAAUAUUAUAUUAAAAAAAAAUAUGCUGGCAAUUUUAGGAUACUUUUUAUCAAAAUAAUUAUUUUAAAUAGUAUUUUCUAAAAAAAAAAAAAAAAUGCUUUACAUGUAUACUUGGCGGUGACAGUGUAUAUAAAUAGACAAAAUAUGCAUCACCACUUUCAAUGGGAAUUUGAGAAAAAAGUAAGAUGUACUUGAAAUUGUUAGAAAAAAAUGCUUUGAAUCAGUCUUCAUCAUGAUGAAUCUGCUUAUAAAGUUACACGCUGCACUGUUUAAUAUGUCAUUUAGAAAUACAAAUUGGACAGGAUAGAGCCCUGUAGUUCAUGACACAAAUACCUGCAACAGAUUCAGAACUUCUACACCUGGGUCCUCAGUAGGAUCUUUAAAUGUUUGCUUUCUCAUAAAGAAUAUUUAUUCAACUCUAGAUCAUAUAUUCUUUUAAAUAUGUAUAUAAACAAACUAAGAGUAAAUACAAUUUAAAGCAUAUAGAACCGAACUACAAAAACAGCUUUGCCUUAAAACUGUGGUACUGAUUUACCCAAUCAUAUGGUGUUUUCAGAAGUGGAUUUUGUUUCUUAGGGUUUGGUUAUUUUUGAAUAAAAAGAAACAAUUUACAGUUAACUUGUGACGUUGCAGGUUGCUCACUUAUCUCAAGGGGCUUUAACAUUGAAAGCCAAUUGUUUCUCAUAUCCUGAAGUUCAAAAAGUUCCUCACUUGAUUCAGACCUCUUUUUGUACCCCCAAAUAAAUCAAAAUGUAUUGACACUCCUGCAGCAAAUAAUAAAAUGACCAUCAUUCCAACCACAAUGAUAUUUCAUGACCUACUGUUAAAUAUGGCAUACCUACUGAUGUUUGUGGUCAAUAACUUUAAAAAUCCCACCUCCACUCAAUCAAGUUAGAAGGCACAUAACACCAAGGACACAGGUUUAUCUUGUGAACAGAACAAAGACGUUCUGUGUUAAAGUGGCUAAGGAGAAAAUCUUAGAAGCCGGUCCAUAUAAAUGAGUUUAGAUAUUUUUCUAAAUUAACUAGAAGCUUGUUAUGAACACAAACAUGACUUAUUAA